rnacentral:rRNA from 1 species
UGGGGAAUAUUGGACAAUGGGCGAAAGCCUGAUCCAGCCAUGCCGCGUGUGUGAAGAAGGUCUUCGGAUUGUAAAGCAUUUUAAGUUGGGAGGAAGGGCAGUAAGCGAAUACCUUGCUGUUUUGACGUUACCGACAGAAUAAGCACCGGCUAACUCUGUGCCAGCAGCCGCGGUAAUACAGAGGGUGCAAGCGUUAAUCGGAAUUACUGGGUGUAAAGCGCGCGUAGGUGGUUCGUUAAGUUGAAUGUGAAAGCCCCGGGCUCAACCUGGGGACUGCUUCCAAAACUGGCGAACUAGGAUAGGGCAGAAGGUGGUGGAAUUUCCUGUGUAGCGGUGGGAUGCGUAGGUAUAGGGAGGAACACCAGUGGCGAAGACGGCCACCUGGGCUCAUACUGACCCUGGGGUGCGAAAGCGUGGGGAGCAAACAGG